UUGGCUCAUGGUUUCUGAGGCUUUGGUCCU
rnacentral:piRNA from 1 species